rnacentral:rRNA from 1 species
AUUGAACGCUGGCGGCAGGCCUAACACAUGCAAGUCGAACGAGUGGCGGACGGGUGAGUAAUGUCUGGGAAACUGCCUGAUGGAGGGGGAUAACUACUGGAAACGGUAGCUAAUACCGCAUACCAUCAGAUGUGCCCAGAUGGGAUUAGCUUGUUGGUGGGGUAACGGCUCACCAAGGCGACGAUCCCUAGCUGGUCUGAGAGGAUGACCAGCCACACUGGAGCUGGGCCACGGCUCAGUGUCCGACGGCAGGCAGCAGUGGGGAAUAUUGCACAAGGGGCGCAAGCCGGAUGCAGCCAUGCCGCGUGUAUGAAGAAGGCCUUCGGGCUGUAAAGUACUUUCAGCGGGGAGGCGUUACCCGCCGAAGAAGCACCGGCUAACUCCGUGCCAGCAGCCGCGGUAAUAC